ACUCAAAGGAAUAGACGGGGGCCCGCACAAGCGGUGGAGUAUGUGGUUUAAUUCGAUGCAACGCGAAGAACCUUACCUGGUCUUGACAUGCCUCGCAAAAGCUUAGAGAUAAGUAAUAGUUAUGGAGGACACAGGUGGUGCAUGGUUGUCGUCAGCUCGUGUCGUGAGAUGUUGGGUUAAGUCCCGCAACGAGCGCAACCCUUGUCUUUAGUUGCCAGCAUUAAGUUGGGGACUCUAGAGAGACUGCCGGUGAUAAACCGGAGGAAGGUGGGGAUGACGUCAAAUCAUCAUGCCCCUUAUGAUCAGGGCUACACACGUACUACAAUGGCAUAUACAGAGGGCAGCGAAAUAGUGAUAUGGAGCGAAUCUCAGAAAGUAUGUCUCAGUUCGGAUUGAAGUCUGCAACUCGACUUCAUGAAGUCGGAAUCGCUAGUAAUCGCAGAUCAGAAUGCUGCGGUGAAUACGUUCUCGGGCCUUGCACACACCGCCCGU
rnacentral:rRNA from 1 species